rnacentral:rRNA from 1 species
GGAUGAACGCUGGCGGCGUGCUUAACACAUGCAAGUCGAACGAGAAGUGGAGACGGAAACCUUCGGGCGGAAGACUUUAUUUCGAGUGGCGGACGGGUGAGUAACGCGUGGGUAACCUGCCUCAUACAGGGGGAUAACAGAUGGAAACAACUGUUAAUACCGCAUAAGACCACAGCACCGCAUGGUGCGGGGGUAAAAACUCCGGUGGGAUGAUAUGGACCCUCGUUCGAUUAGCCAGUUGGCGGGGUAACGGCCCACCAAAGCGAGGAUCGAUAGCCGAGCUGAGAGGAUGACCGGCCACAUUGGGACUGAGACACGGCCCAAACUCCUACGGGAGGCAGCAGUGGGGAAUAUUGCACAAUGGGGGAAACCCUGAUGCAGCGACGGCGCGUGAGUGAAGAAGUAUUUCGGUAUGUACAGCUCUAUAAGCAGGGAAGAAAAUGACGGUACCUGAGUAAGAAGCCCCGGCUAACUACGUG